rnacentral:rRNA from 1 species
GACGAACGCUGGCGGCGUGCCUAAUACAUGCAAGUCGAACGAACUCUGGUAUUGAUUGGUGCUUGCAUCAUGAUUUACAUUUGAGUGAGUGGCGAACUGGUGAGUAACACGUGGGAAACCUGCCCAGAAGCGGGGGAUAACACCUGGAAACAGAUGCUAAUACCGCAUAACAACUUGGACCGCAUGGUCCGAGCUUGAAAGAUGGCUUCGGCUAUCACUUUUGGAUGGUCCCGCGGCGUAUUAGCUAGAUGGUGGGGUAACGGCUCACCAUGGCAAUGAUACGUAGCCGACCUGAGAGGGUAAUCGGCCACAUUGGGACUGAGACACGGCCCAAACUCCUACGGGAGGCAGCAGUAGGGAAUCUUCCACAAUGGACGAAAGUCUGAUGGAGCAACGCCGCGUGAGUGAAGAAGGGUUUCGGCUCGUAAAACUCUGCUGUUAAAGAAGAACAUAUCUGAGAGUAACUGUUCAGGUAUUGACGGUAUUUAACCAGAAAGCCACGGCUAACUACGUGCCAGCAGCCGCGGUAAUACGUAGGUGGCAAGCGUUGUCCGGAUUUAUUGGGCGUAAAGCGAGCGCAGGCGGUUUUUUAAGUCUGAUGUGAAAGCCUUCGGCUCAACCGAAGAAGUGCAUCGGAAACUGGGAAACUUGAGUGCAGAAGAGGACAGUGGAACUCCAUGUGUAGCGGUGAAAUGCGUAGAUAUAUGGAAGAACACCAGUGGCGAAGGCGGCUGUCUGGUCUGUAACUGACGCUGAGGCUCGAAAGUAUGGGUAGCAAACAGGAUUAGAUACCCUGGUAGUCCAUACCGUAAACGAUGAAUGCUAAGUGUUGGAGGGUUUCCGCCCUUCAGUGCUGCAGCUAACGCAUUAAGCAUUCCGCCUGGGGAGUACGGCCGCAAGGCUGAAACUCAAAGGAAUUGACGGGGGCCCGCACAAGCGGUGGAGCAUGUGGUUUAAUUCGAAGCUACGCGAAGAACCUUACCAGGUCUUGACAUACUAUGCAAAUCUAAGAGAUUAGACGUUCCCUUCGGGGACAUGGAUACAGGUGGUGCAUGGUUGUCGUCAGCUCGUGUCGUGAGAUGUUGGGUUAAGUCCCGCAACGAGCGCAACCCUUAUUAUCAGUUGCCAGCAUUAAGUUGGGCACUCUGGUGAGACUGCCGGUGACAAACCGGAGGAAGGUGGGGAUGACGUCAAAUCAUCAUGCCCCUUAUGACCUGGGCUACACACGUGCUACAAUGGAUGGUACAACGAGUUGCGAACUCGCGAGAGUAAGCUAAUCUCUUAAAGCCAUUCUCAGUUCGGAUUGUAGGCUGCAACUCGCCUACAUGAAGUCGGAAUCGCUAGUAAUCGCGGAUCAGCAUGCCGCGGUGAAUACGUUCCCGGGCCUUGUACACACCGCCCGUCACACCAUGAGAGUUUGUAACACCCAAAGUCGGUGGGGUAACCUUUUAGGAACCAGCCGCCUAAGGUGGGACAGAUGAUUAGGGUGAAGUCGUAACAAGGUAGCCGUAG